rnacentral:rRNA from 1 species
UACAGAGGGGGCAAGCGUUAUUCGGAAUUAUUGGGCGUAAAGGGCGCGUAGGCGGCUUGGCAAGUGGAAGGUGAAAUCCCUCGGCUCAACUGAGGAACUGCCUUCCAGACUGCUUUGCUUGAGUCCGGGAGAGGUGAGUGGAAUUCCCAGUGUAGCGGUGAAAAUGCGUAGAUAUUGGGAGGAACACCAGUGGCGAAGGCGGCUCACUGGACCGGAACUGACGCUGAGGCGCGAAAGCGUGGGGAGCAAACGGG